rnacentral:lncRNA from 1 species
AAAAAUCUAUCUUUAUUUGUUAUCUUUGUCGUUUCAUUUCACCUUCAACAUCUUUCUUCAGUUUGGGUUUUGUGGCCAUCUUUCUUCUGGAGUAGUUUCAUUAUAGUUCAGCGUCUCCCCCACAAGGUAUAGCUCUUUCUCUUUCUUUAACGCAUCCUUUGCUAGUUUGUGAGCCUAAAGAUUCUCUGUUCUUUGAAUAAACCUAAAGGCAAUUUCUUGAAAGCGAUAUUUGUUACUCUGGAUAUCUUUAAUAAUCGCUCCAAUAAUCGAUUUAUCUCGAAUUGUUGUUUGCCAUCUAUUGAUAACUAUUUUCGAAUCCCCCAUAAUCGUAACUAAGCCUAAACCCAUUUUGAUGCCUAACUUGGUUGCUUCUAAACAUGCACAUGCCUCUGCAACAAACAGAGAUGAGACAUUGGAAUGAAGAAUCAAUUUUGAGGCUUUAAUCACACCUUUCUAAUCCCGAACUACUAAUCCUAACGCCGAUCUAGAAUUUCUAAUAUCAAAAGCUGCGUCGAACUAUAUUAUCUCCCCCAUUGACUCCCCUCCUUGUCCUUGAGUUCUAGCGGACGUAAAGGUAAGCUUUUUUUCAUGCACUCCUUCAAGUUCCAAUAAGUAGCUCUGUAUUUUGUGUGAAAGGUCCCAUCCUGAUGUGAUUUUCCUCUCAUGAACCAUCUAAUUCCGUGAGCCCCAAAUAACCCAUAAGACACUGUAGAACAUUCGGAUCUGCUCCUUUCUACCCUUCCAAAAACCCAAGUGAGCCAUGUCCAUGUAUUUUGAUCUAUGUGUGCUGUUACCCAAGUCAUAUUAAGACUAUUCCAAACAUCAAUGCUUGUAGGACAUUGUCGAAACACGUGGUAGCUGUCUUCUUUUUCGGAGCAGCAUCGAGGACAACUAGCAUUUAUAAUCACUCUCUUAUAUCUAAGAUUAACUAGCGUAGGGAUAUAGUUCCAAGAAAUUCGCCAUAUAAGAAUUAACAUUUUUUAUGGUAGUUGUAAAUUCCACAACUUCCUGUAGAAUUCUUUAGUUUCAGCCUGUACUACAUAACUACUAGGAUCCAAGCUAGCAUCUUGUAAUAGUUUGUAGGCACUUCGUACUGAAAACUCACCAGAGUGUUCACCUUUCCACACUUGCAUGUCUUUAUAG